AUUGAACGCUGGCGGCAUGCCUUACACAUGCAAGUCGAACGGCAGCACGGGUGCUUGCACCUGGUGGCGAGUGGCGAACGGGUGAGUAAUACAUCGGAACGUACCUUAUCGUGGGGGAUAACGCAGCGAGAGCUGUGCUAAUACCGCAUACGCCCUGAGGGGGAAAGCAGGGGAUCGAAAGACCUCGCGCGAUUAGAGCGGCCGAUGCCUGAUUAGCUUGUUGGUGGGGUAAAAGCCCACCAAGGCGACGAUCAGUAGCUGGUCUGAGAGGACGAUCACCCACACUGGGACUGAGACACGGCCCAGACUCCUACGGGAGGCAGCAGUGGGGAAUUUUGGACAAUGGGGGCAACCCUGAUCCAGCAAUGCCGCGUGAGUGAAGAAGGCCUUCGGGUUGUAAAGCUCUUUUGUCAGGGAAGAAACACCGGCUCUAACACAGUCCGGGAAUGACGGUACCUGAAGAAUAAGCACCGGCUAACUACGUGCCAGCAGCCGCAGUAA
rnacentral:rRNA from 1 species